rnacentral:rRNA from 1 species
UACAGAGGGUGCGAGCGUUUAAUCGGAAUUACUGGGCGUAAAGCGUGCGCAGACGGUUGCGUAAGUCAGAUGUGAAAGCCCCGGGCUCAACCUGGGAAUUGCAUUUGAGACUGCGUAGCUAGGGUGCGGAAGAGGGAAGCGGAAUUUCCGGUGUAGCGGUGAAAUGCGUAGAUAUCGGAAGGAACACCAGUGGCGAAAGCGGCUUCCUGGUCCAGCACCGACGUUCAGGCACGAAAGCGUGGGGAGCAACAGG